GAUGAACGCUGGCGGCGUGCCUAAUACAUGCAAGUCGAGCGAACAGACGAGGAGCUUGCUCCUCUGACGUUAGCGGCGGACGGGUGAGUAACACGUGGAUAACCUACCUAUAAGACUGGGAUCACUUCGGGACACCGGCGCUAAUACCGGAUAAUAUCUUGCACCGCAUGGUUCAAUAGUGAAAGACGGUUUUGCUGUCACUUAUAGAUGGAUCCGCGCCGCAUUAGCUAGUUGGUAAGGUAACGGCUUACCAAGGCAACUAGGCGUAGCCGACCUGAGAGGCGGAUCGGCGACACUGGAACGGAGACACGGUCCAGACGCCUACGGGAGGCAGCAGUAGGGAAUCUUACGCAAUGGGCGAAAGCCUGACGGAGCAACGCCGCGUGAGUGAUGAAGGUCUUCGGAUCGUAAAACUCGGUUAUUAGGGAAGAACAAAUGUGUAAGUAACUAUGCACGUAUUGACGGUACCUAAUCAGAAAGCCACGGCUAACUACGUG
rnacentral:rRNA from 1 species